rnacentral:rRNA from 1 species
AUUGAACGCUGGCGGCAUGCCUUACACAUGCAAGUCGAACGGCAGCACGGGUGCUUGCACCUGGUGGCGAGUGGCGAACGGGUGAGUAAUACAUCGGAACAUGUCCUGUCGUGGGGGAUAGCCCGGCGAAAGCCGGAUUAAUACCGCAUACGAUCUACGGAUGAAAGCGGGGGACCUUCGGGCCUCGCGCUAUAGGGUUGGCCGAUGGCUGAUUAGCUAGUUGGUGGGGUAAAGGCCUACCAAGGCGACGAUCAGUAGCUGGUCUGAGAGGACGACCAGCCACACUGGGACUGAGACACGGCCCAGACUCCUACGGGAGGCAGCAGUGGGGAAUUUUGGACAAUGGGCGAAAGCCUGAUCCAGCAAUGCCGCGUGUGUGAAGAAGGCCUUCGGGUUGUAAAGCACUUUUGUCCGGAAAGAAAUCCUUGGCCCUAAUACGGUCGGGGGAUGACUGUACCGGAAGAAUAAGCACCGGCUAACUACGUG